rnacentral:tRNA from 1 species
GGAAGGUUGGCCGAGUGGUUUAAGGCUCUCGUCUUGAAAACGAGCGCGGGUGAGAGCCCGCCGGGGGUUCGAAUCCCUCACCUUCCGCCA